GCUAAUUAUCUAGCCCCAACAUAACAAAUGAACAUCACUUUCUCACACAUCUUUUUCUAAAUCAUUCUUAUAGUUUAGUAAAGGAGAUCAAAAAAUUAUUUUGGAGCUAUAAAAAUAGUACCGCAAGGGAAAGAUGAAAUAUUAAUGAAAUAUUCUCAAGCAGAUAAAAGUAGAGACUAAACCUCGUACCUUUUGCAUCAUGGUUUAACAAGUUCAAUCAAGCAAAAAGACUUUUAGUUUGACCUCCCGAAACUAAGCGAGCUACUUAAAGACAGCUUUUAGAGCAAACCCAUCUCUGUAGCAAAAGAGUGGGAAGAUCAUUAAGUAGAGGUGAUAAACCUACCGAGCAUAGUGAUAGCUGGUUGCUUAAGAAAAGGAUUUCAGUCCAACCUAAAUCUACUUUUACAAACCUAAGUAUACAAUUUAGAGCAAUUCUAACAAGGUACAGCCUGUUAGAAUCAGGAUACAACCUUAACUAACGGGUAAACACAUCCUCCCCCUGCAACAAAGUAGGCCUAAAAGCAGCCACCUUUAAAACAGCGUCAAAGCUUAAUUGCAGAACAGAUAAAUCUCACACCCCAAACCCAACCCUUUAUUAGUAUUAAGCAAUUUUAUAUAACUAUAAAAACUUUUAUGUUAAAACUAGUAACAAGAACAAGAUAUUCUCUAAAAUGCAAGUGUAAGCCAGCCUAGGACAACACACUGACAAUUAACAUUUUUAAUACCCUAGUAGUAACAUCACCAAGAAAACCCUACUCAUUUACAUGUUAACCUGACACCAGAGCAUUUCAAGAAAGAUUAAAAGAAAAAGAAGGAACUCGGCAAACAUUAACCUCGCCUGUUUACCAAAAACAUCGCCUCUUGCACAAUCAUAAGAGGUCCAGCCUGCCCAGUGACUCUGUUCAACGGCCGCGGUAUCCUAACCGUGCGAAGGUAGCGCAAUCACUUGUUCUUUAAAUAAGGACUAGUAUGAACGGCACCACGAAGGUUAUACUGUCUCCUCUUUCUAAUCAGUGAAACUAAUCUUUCCGUGAAGAAGCGGAAAUAAUUAUAUAAGACGAGAAGACCCUAUGGAGCUUUAAACUAAGUAACAAAUAUCUUUUUAUUAUAAAACUUAAGAGUAAUAAAAAUUAACCAGAUAUUAUGAUUUCUAGUUUUAGGUUGGGGUGACCAUGGAGUACAACUCAACCUCCAUGCCGAAAUGACUAUAAAAAUCUAAGCCACGAACAACAAUUCCAAGCAUCAAUACCUUGACGUCUAUUGACCCAAUUUUUGAUCAACGAAACAAGUUACCCUAGGGAUAACAGCGCAAUCCACUUCAAGAGCUCAUAUCGACAAGUGGGUUUACGACCUCGAUGUUGGAUCAGGGUAUCCUAGUGGUGCAGCCGCUACUAAAGGUUCGUUUGUUCAACGAUUAAAACCCU
rnacentral:rRNA from 1 species